rnacentral:lncRNA from 1 species
UUUGUGCUCUUGAAAAUAUGAGGUUUAGCUUCGAUUCUUCUUCACCUUAAGGACAUGUAUAAAAUUAAAUUUCUGAAUGGAUAUCGAUUGAUUAUCAUAUUUCGAUAUUGAAUCAAGCAUAAAUCAAUUAUUUUCGUAAUAUAAAUAGGUGCAUGUCGUUCAAAAUUGAAUUAAUUACGUGAAGUAAAUAAGGCUUUGCAUACCGCUAUUUAGGUGUUCAACGUUAUACGUUAUUAAAAGUCUGAAAGACCAACUAUGAAGAUGUUUUACGCAAACUUUCAUGAAUUGUCUGGACUUAAAGUUUGCUUAAGUUACCCUUAAACCAGGGUCACUCAUCCUCUACUAAGAAUGCCCAAAUUAUGCGCUAUAGCUGAUUCCUGGAGAAAUUCUUGGUCCUAGUGCAAUUCUCGUUGGAUCCAAGAGAUCUCUGUGGCAUAAACGAUACCUCGCAAAUCUGACCGAUUGCUUGCAUCUGUCCAGGAAUUCAUCAAUAAUUUUGAAAAUAAUGUUUUCAAUCAAUAAACAAAAUCUACCCAAGAAUACUUAGGCGACCUUUCCAUUUAUUCAUUUCCCGUUUUUCCACGAUUUCCCGGAUUUUCCGCUUUUCGGAAAAAAUUCCCGUUUUUUCCGCGAUUUCCCGGAUGGCUGGAUACCCAUAAUAAGAGACGAACUCUUCAAAUAGUGAUCUAAGAACAGAAUGUCUAUAAGCAUUUUAAAAAUGUCAAAAUUGCAUCAAAUUCUGAAGUUCGAAUGUAAACCCUUAUAUUUUCUCGAUUUUGACAUGACAUGAAAUAUCAUACUACAACUCUCAACUUUUAUAUUCGUUAUGCUUAACUGAUUAACAAUAAUAAUAUUAUUUAGUUUAGUAUGUUGUGGGUUCCACACUAUCAGAUUUUACGGUACGAAACUUUUUCUUACGAAAACUGCUAUUAUUUUGAGUGUUUAAUUUUCUAGCAGACGCUUCGAAAAUUUAAAUUUUAUUUAACGUAGAAAAUUGAUCAUAUUUGUAGUUCUCUGUGAAAACAUCAUCAUAAUUACUCUUACGGAAAUAAAGUUAUAACAUGGCAAAGUCUAGUAUAAAAUUCACGUAUGAAAUAUGGCCAUCACCACUUUUAAUCCGGACACAACUGUACGUAGUAAUUUUUAGACUGCCAAGUAUCGAUUACCUCUACGACACCGAACUACCUAUAUACACGGAGAAAACGGAAAAUACUAUUUACCAUAUUAUUUAUGACAUUCUAGACAUUAGCCCUCUUUAAUCGAUGCAACUGAUAACAAAUAUGCUUGGCUUUAAUAUUUUUAUACUUUAUCAAUCAUAUUGAUGAGUUAUAAUCAGCUGUGCAUAAAGCAAAGCAGAUAUUAUUCUGGCGACUUUGUAAAAUUUGCUAGUAAUUUUCUCUACCUAGUACGGAACGGAAGCCAUUGCAAAAAUUGCCAAUUUUCACCUGUGUUUUCAUAAGCUCAAUUUCAAGAUAAAUUACAUUCAAAUAAUCAUGUACUAUUCACGAAAACAAGCUCGUUCUGUUUGGCCUCGGCUUAGAGCGCAUCGCGGAAGCCUCCAUUUUUCGAUCUGGAAACGGUAUUCCAGGAUCUUUGCUGGCACCCUAUCAACACCAAGCAACUAGAAUCAAUGGUAAUUUAAUAGUGAGAAACUGUUCCGCAAAGAAUCAGACGAUUGUGUUGUGUCCCGCUACUCCGAAUCGGAUCCGUACGAUGUGCGAUGUUGUUCUUGGUUCGG